GGUUGUAUAGUGUAGUGGUGAGCACAUUGGUUUUUGAGACGUCUUGUUCAUCAGAAUACCGGGAACCUGGGUUCGAACCCCAGUACGACCU
rnacentral:tRNA from 1 species